UUAAAUCCAAUUUCAGAAUCCUUAACUCUUGAAGGAAGGAACGACGUCUCCAGCCGCCCUUCUCCCUCUUCUCCGGCGAAAUCGCUUCCACCUCGACUGAAUUUCGGAGUCCCGUCGGCGGUUACUUCCUUCUCUAUCGCAUUCUCUUCUUUCGUCGAGCUCGGAGGAGCUCUCGGCUCUCCGUCGCCGCCUCCGGCGGAUUCGCCACCGUCGAGCUCUCUCUCCAAACGAAGUCGCCGACAGAGAAGGUGUCGCCUUUCACUCUCCGUCUCCCUCUCUGUUUUUUUUUUCUUUUCUCCGCCGGGAAUCUUCCUCCGGAGACCGCAGCGCCGCCGCCGAACAAGUGUCGGGGAGCUCCUUGCCUUCGGAGCUGCUGCGUCGCUGCCCCGUCUGUCGGAUUCGCGUGAGGCAGCUCCCUCCUCGGUCUUCUCCGUAAUCCCGUUAUCACUGGACAGCCUUCCCCCUAAGCUAAGUCUUCUAACUUAGCUAUUUUACUUAGGCCUCUCAAUGGCAGUAGCUAAUACUUGGUGUUGGGAGUCUAAUUGAGUUUGAUGAAGGGGCCUAUCCUUUGAGUCCAAAUUCUCAACACUUUACUGGAAUUUUCAUCUUCAAAGCAAUUGUGAUUUGCUUAAGUUAUUGAGGCUAAUGGCUUGGUCCUUGUUCCAAAAUCCUUGCUACUUAUUUCCAAAUUUUGAGCAUCUAAGGUUCUAAGUUCUCAUCUAGAGCUUGCUAUGUGAAAUCUAUAUGAAUGCUAUUUACGUAAAGGAUGUUGGGGAGAAUUACCUUGCUUUGGUGAUUCCUUAAUUGUUGGGCAGCUCAAGAGCUUCCUCCCUCUCCUCUCAUUCCUUGCUACUCUUUGCCGAGAAGUUUCUAAGUGGUAAAAAGGUGAAGCAAGAGGUGUGGUUAAGAGACAACUCAUGCUAUCUCUAGGAGACUACUAAUUGACUCCUUGGCAUGGAGUGGGGAUCAAGAAUCCAGAUGUGUGUAGAGAGGAUCCUCAAUGAAGAUUUGUAGUUAUCUCUUUGCUAAUUUUGGUUUGAUGAUGUAGAGUGACCUUUGUAAAGAAGUUGUACUUAUUCCCAUUAAAUCCUCAUUUCCAUUUA